CUACGGGAGGCAGCAGGGGGGAAUUUUGGACAAUGGGCGAAAGCCUGAUCCAGCCAUGCCGCGUGAGUGAAGAAGGCCUUCGGGUUGUAAAGCUCUUUUAGUCGGAAAGAAAGAGUUGCANAUGAAUAAUUGUGAUUUAUGACGGUACCGACAGAAAAAGCACCG
rnacentral:rRNA from 1 species